rnacentral:rRNA from 1 species
GAUGAACGCUAGCGGCAGGCCUAACACAUGCAAGUCGAGGGGCAGCACAGAAACAGCAAUGUUUUGGUGGCGACCGGCGGACGGGUGCGUAACGCGUAUGCAACCUACCUUUAACAGGGGGAUAACGGAGAGAAAUUUCCACUAAUACCCCAUAACAUCGAUCAAGGCAUCUUGAUUGGUUGAAAACUCCGGUGGUUAAAGAUGGGCAUGCGUUGUAUUAGGUAGUUGGUGAGGUAAUGGCUCACCAAGCCUACGAUACAUAGGGGGACUGAGAGGUGAGCCCACCACACGGGUAGUGAGACACGGACCAGACUCCGACGGGAGGCAGCAGUGAGGAAUAUUGGUCAAUGUGGGCAACCCUGAACCAGCCAUGCCGCAUGCAGGAAGACGGCGCUAUGAGUUGUAAAGUGCUUUUAAACAGGGAUAAAGCACAGUAUGUAUACUGUGUUGAAGGUACUGUAAGAAUAAGGAUCGGCUAACUCCGUGCCAGCCGCCGCGGUAA